CGGGUCUUGACAUCGGAUGCAUAACUAAGAGAUUAGUGAAGUCCUUCGGGACAUCCAGACAGGUGGUGCAUGGUUGUCGUCAGCUCGUGUCGUGAGAUGUUGGGUUAAGUCCCGCAACGAGCGCAACCCUUAUAAUUAGUUGCUACGCAAGAGCACUCUAAUUAGACUGCCGUUGGCAAAACGGAGGAAGGUGGGGAUGACGUCAAAUCAUCAUGCCCUUUAUGACCCGGGCUACACACGUACUACAAUGGUGUUUAACAAAGAGAAGCAAAGCCGCGAGGUAGAGCAAAUCUCGAAAAAACAUCUCAGUUCAGACUGCAGGCUGCAACUCGCCUGCACGAAGUCGGAAUUGCUAGUAAUCGUAGGUCAGCAUACUACGGUGAAUACGUUCCC
rnacentral:rRNA from 1 species